rnacentral:rRNA from 1 species
UAGGGAAUCUUCCGCAAUGGAUGCAAGUCUGACGGAGCAACGCCGCGUGAGUGAAGAAGGAUUUCGGUUCGUAAAACUCUGUUGUUAGAGAAGAACAGCGCAUAGAGUAACUGUUAUGCGUGUGACGGUAUCUAACCAGAAAGCCACGGCUAACUACGUGCCAGCAGCCGCGGUAAUACGUAGGUGGCAAGCGUUGUCCGGAUUUAUUGGGCGCAAAGCGAGCGCAGGCGGUCAAUUAAGUCUGAUGUGAAAGCCCCCGGCUCAACCGGGGAGGGUCAUUGGAAACUGGUUGACUUGAGUGCAGAAGAGGAGAGUGGAAUUCCAUGUGUAGCGGUGAAAUGCGUAGAUAUAUGGAGGAACACCGGUGGCGAAAGCGGCUCUCUGGUCUGUAACUGACGCUGAGGCUCGAAAGCGUGGGGAGCGAACAGG